rnacentral:lncRNA from 1 species
UGGGCUAAACUAACAAAAAACAACAAGAUCAUAUAUCAUAUGAUUAUGGAUUACCGCAUAAUUCAUCCCUUUGAUCCUAACACUCAAAGUGAUCUAGGAUUUAACUAUCAAUCCUCAAACAGUCAUCCACGCCGUAUUUCAACCUUUCAAAUCCAUCACAUAGAUUACCCUGAUCAAGAUUUUACUAAAUUGAAAUAUAGUGAUGGAUUAACUCCUACAAUUCGGAGAAGUCAAUCCCAUCUUGAUCCAUGCACAGACUUCGCAAAUACUUGACUGUACUCAGUAGCCUUCCGUCACUGCAUUAAAAAUACAGGUAGUCCGGUACCAAAACAUGGUGAGUUGUUUGCAAGUCGCUAUGGUGAUCUCAGAUCUGAGGGACACUUAUGCCCAUACGCUUUACGAGCUGCUCUUGACAGUAAGCGCUCAGUAGAUGAGUCACUUGUUCAAUACGAUAUACUCCUACAUUUCAUCUGUAUACCAUACCAGUGUCUCCACACUCUUUGGUUAUGAAAACAACCAACCUAUAUGGCAUAUAACGACCUACAUUCAAUAAACGUCAUCAUCCUAUUAAUGACGUAUCAGUUAAUCGC